AUCGAGCCCAACAAGACACGGAGAGCCUUCGGGACACGGAAACGCAUGGCCCCUUACCGGUCACUCAAAACCUGGCGCACACCAGCAGCGACAGGGACUAUGCUCUGCUGAAACGAGACAUAGGGUAAAUGGGGGCCAUGGAACGGCAGCAACAGAGGGCCCUGCUGACUAUACUUCACCUGCGAACUGACUCCCUUACUAAACAAACACAGUCAGCAGUUUACAUGUCUCAAACAAGUCACCUAUGAACUCACUGCAUUGUUUUGCCUGCCGCUAAGUCUGACCCACAAAGUUGGUAACCUAAUGCUAUGGUACAGCCUUCAUUCUGUGUCUCUCUGACUCUUCUCACCUGUCAGGCUCACCUUGAUUAUUUUUUUUAAUAUAGCGAGAAUCUAAGCAGUUAUAAAUAUAGCAUAAGCAUAAAUGUUGGACCCUCAAAGAAAAGCAAUGCCAUGUAUUCAAAUUGACCUUAAACGAG